rnacentral:rRNA from 1 species
CUUCGGGGUACUCGAGCGGCGAACGGGUGAGUAACACGUGAGUAAUCUGCCCCAGGCUCUGGGAUAGCCACCGGAAACGGUGAUUAAUACCGGAUACGACAACCGAUUGCAUGAUCUGGUUGUGGAAAGUUUUUCGGCCUGGGAUGUGCUCGCGGCCUAUCAGCUUGUUGGUGAGGUAAUGGCUCACCAAGGCUUCGACGGGUAGCCGGCCUGAGAGGGUGACCGGCCACACUGGGACUGAGACACGGCCCAGACUCCUACGGGAGGCAGCAGUGGGGAAUAUUGGACAAUGGGCGGAAGCCUGAUCCAGCAACGCCGCGUGAGGGAUGACGGCCUUCGGGUUGUAAACCUCUUUCAGCACAGACGAAGCGCAAGUGACGGUAUGUGCAGAAGAAGGACCGGCCAACUACGUGCCAGCAGCCGCGGUAAUACGUAGGGUCCGAGCGUUGUCCGGAAUUAUUGGGCGUAAAGGGCUCGUAGGCGGUCUGUCGCGUCGGGAGUGAAAACCAGGUGCUUAACACCUGGCCUGCUUUCGAUACGGGCAGACUAGAGGUACUCAGGGGAGAAUGGAAUUCCUGGUGUAGCGGUGAAAUGCGCAGAUAUCAGGAGGAACACCGGUGGCGAAGGCGGUUCUCUGGGAGUAUCCUGACGCUGAGGAGCGAAAGUGUGGGGAGCGAACAGGAUUAGAUACCCUGGUAGUCCACACCGUAAACGUUGGGCGCUAGGUGUGGGAUCCAUUC